CACCGAGAGAGAGACAGAGACAGAGACACAGGCAGAGGGAGAAGCGGCUCCUCACAGGGAGCCCAAUGUGGGACUCAAUCCUGGAACUCUGGGAUCAUGCCCUGGGCCGAAGGCAGAUGCUCAACCAUUGAGCCACCCAGGUGUCCCAGAGGCUUCUGUUUCUUGAAACAGACAUACUGGAUGAGAUUUUUAAGGUUGUUUCCAGAUUUGACAUUUUAUCAUUUUAUUACCUGACAGUGUGUGGGGUUUUUGUUGUUUUGUUUUAUUUUGUUUUUGUAGUAGGCUUCAUGCUGGGCAUGAAGCCCAAUGCAGCAUUUGAACUCACAACCCUGAGGUCAAGACCUGAACUGAGAUCAAGAAUCAGCCACUCAACUGACUGAGCCAUCCAGGCACCCCGAAAAUGUGUAGGUUUUUAUGUUAACCAAGAAUCAGUUCAGAUCCAUUUGUUUAAGAUAAAUCUCUUCACCUGAGAGUUACACCUCAUUAGUGAUGAGACCAGGUUCUAUGGAGGUCAGAGGGGGGUGAAAUCUGAGGGUCGCCUAGAUUCCUGUCAUUCCGUAUAUAUCACACAUGUAUCAACUCUGCUUUCAGGAUCUCAGGAUCUCACUCAGGGGAUACGAACUCUCAGGUCAGCACCUUUCUCUUCUUAUGGAGACAUCUAAAUUACAACCAGAGAAUGCCUGCAAGCCCAGAAAUGGUAUGGGACAUUUCAGCAUGAAUCAGUAACAACACUUGACAGUGGGUUUGGCAGCCACAUAUGAAAUGUUUCCCCACACAUCAGAGUAGCAUUCACCCACUGGGACUGCAUUCAGAACCUAACAAGGGAUGAUACCACGAUCCUGACACCGAUUUCAUUCUGUGUGUUUUGCAACACCAAGCAAUUUUCUGGCACCAGCUAGGAGUCCUAGAAUUCCACUCAGUUCUGACACUACCUGGAGAUACUGUCUCAUAUCACAUGCCAAGGGCUCAGUCCCAUAAGACUGCCUCUUGCACACACUUCAGAUGACAAUUGCAA
rnacentral:lncRNA from 1 species